CCCCACUGCCUCAGGACCCAGGUUAGAGACGCACCCUAAUACUGACCCUGAAACAUACAUCAUCCCCACUGCCUCAGGACCCAGGUUAGAGACGCACCCUAAUACUGACCCUGAAACAUACAUCAUCCCCACUGCCUCAGGACCCAGGUUAGAGACGCACCCUAAUACUGACCCUGAAACAUACAUCAUCCCCACUGCCUCAGGACCCAGGUUAGAGACACACCCUAAUACUGACCCUGAAACAUACAAUUCACUUUGGAGGUUUUAUGCUGAAUGUAAAAGAGUUUAUCUAUCGAUAUCUAGUAAGUUUGUAUUUACGAAACUUUGUCACGGACUCCAUUUUGUUAUCG